GUAAUUAUUUUCCCGAUCUACAGUAUUGGUUGAGGUUUGAAUGAAUUUCCUUCAUCCUGCAAAUCCUUCUUCAUUCGUCCUGUUCAGUCAUGUAUAAUUUUUUUUUUGUCUGCGCUUCGCAUCUGUACGGGCCUAGCUUGUCUAGCCAAAAUUUCCCUUCUUCUGUCUCACCCCUGCACAACUGGACAAUUCCAUAAAGGUAAAUACCGUUCUCCUAACUACUUCUGCUGCCUUUUUCAAGUGUGCCAAUCCUUCUUCUGUGUUGUUUUUGUGGAAAUACUCUUGGAUCCCUUUGAUGUAGUGUGCCUCCACAUUUCCACUUGCAAUGGUUUUUUGCAUGAGGUCUUGGUAUUUCUUGAGUGCUGCUAGGGGAUUGAUUGCUAGUGGGCUUAGGUUGAUAUGCUUGUAAACUCGGUGAUCUUGUGCUGCUUUGGUUAGAUGUGGUGAUGCUUGCAUAACAUGCCUGACGUCUGUGCGUGACCUCCGUGCAACUCGAGAGAUAAUUUCUCCCAGCACAUCGUAUGGCUGGUGGUGAGUUGGAGAUUCGUUUGAUUGAGAAAUCUAGUUGAGAUGAGAAAAACCUUAUCAUCAAUGAGUAGGAAGUCCACUCCCAUUAGUUAGCCUCCUUUUUUAACGUUUGGGGCAGGCCAGUGACGAAGCAUCCUUCCAACGAUCUGUUGGUGUAGGCGACCGGCUUUCAGAUUUUCGAAUGAAACAGCAGUGGAAUCCAUAUUAGUAAGAAGCAAUUUCAGAGAGAGAAGGAAUGGUAAGAGGAAUGCAAUCGGAGAAAAUGGGUUUAUGGCAUUAUAUAGCAAUUCAAGUAACACCAAUUGAAGGGAAAGUAGUGGGACUUCAAUUGGAAGGAAAAGCAUUGAAAGACUGUAAUAACGGUUUCAGAGGAAAACGAACCGAUAGAGAUGGAAGUCAAGAAUGCUGAAGAGGCGUGGCGUUUGAGGUCGACGAACGGCGGACGAAGGAGAAGCGAUUCCGGGGAAGGGUUUUAUGUCUACAACAUGUUAUAGGAAUAAUAAUAGUUUGGGCCCUAAAAGAAAUUUUAAAAUGGGCUUCCAAAGACUCUAGAAAACUAAACAUACGAAUAUGGGGUUUCUGAAGUACUAUGGGCUUAUUAAACAUAUAGAUAUGCUGAGGUGGCAGCACCAAUAAUGAGUAAAGUGUACUUUAUAUAUAUAGAUUAUCGCACCCAAACGUCACUAUGAACUCGUGAACGUGUUAUU